UGUAAAAGAAAUUUUUUGAUUUACCUUUUGUAUCAGGGUUUUUUAAAAAAGUUAAUUAUUUAAAAAUCUCGAAUCAGUAAUGAGCUAAAUAAUUUAUUUUUGUUUCAAUAAAUAAUUUAUUAAAUUAGUAAUGAAAUGUUUUCGUAUUCUGUGAUAACUAGUUAUUUAAAUAAAUUAUUAAUAAAAUUGAUUUUAAGUCAAUCAAAUAGAAAAGUUAAUUUUUUUAUUUUUUUAGGUAAAAUUUGACUUUAAGAUAAGUUAGGUUUAAUAUUGGCCAUAAUUAUAUAUUGUUAUAAGUAAGUUUAGGGCUUGCCAUGUUUACUAAUAGUGUUUAGAUUAGUUUAUUUUUUUUAAUAGUAUUUAUAAUAAUGAGAAAAUUAGUAUUAGAUUGUAUUUUUAUUGUUGAACUCGAAGCUUAUUUGAUAGUUUAGCAAAAACAUUUCUUUUAGCUAAUUAUAAGUAAGGCCUGCCCAGUGAUUUUUAACGGCUGCGGUAUUUUAACUGUACUAAGGUAGCAUAAUCAUUUGUUUUUUAAUUGAAGACUGGAAUGAAUGGUUUUACAAAUUAUUAUUAUUAAUGAUUUAAUUUUAAAAAUUUUUAUUUUGCAUAAAAAUAUGUAAAUAUUAUAAAGGGACGAUAAGACCCUAAAAGCUUUUUUAUUGAUUUGUUUAUUUAAUUUAUAGAUGUAGUAAUAAGUUUAGUUGGGGUAACGUAGGUAUUAAUAUUAUUUUAUAUAUAUACACAGUAAUUUAUGGAUUUUUGGUCUUUUAUGUAAAGAAAAAUAGAAUUAGUUACUUUAGGGAUAACAGCGUAAUAGUUUUAGAAAGGCCUUAUUAAUAGAAUUGAUUACGACCUCGAUGUUGAAUUAAGAUUUCUAUUUAUUGUAGCAGGUAAAUAAGAAGGUUUGUUCAACCUUUAAUUUUUUACAUGAUUUGAGUUCAAAU
rnacentral:rRNA from 1 species